GCCUUUCCCGCCCGCCGGAGCCCACCGGGCCCCACGGGGGCUGGAGGGACGCGGCCCCUCCGCUCUGCACCUGCCCGUCGCCGAGGACCGAACCGCGGAGCCCCGGGAGAGGGGAGCCUGAGCGCGCGCGGAAUUCCCACGCCUCCCGGGAGAGGGGAGCCUGCGCGCGCGCCGAAUUCCCACGCCUUCCCACCCGGCCCGGGAAAAGGGAGCCUGCGCCCGCUCCGAAUUCCCACCCCUUCCCACCCGGCCCGGGAGAGGGGAACCUGCGCGCGCGCGCGCGGAAUUCCCACGCUUCCCCCACCCGGCCCGGGAAAAGGGGGGUGGGGGUCUUCCCCGCGCCCCUCCCCGUCCGAAGAAAAGUCUCUGACGCCCCCAAAGACGAAGCCUCCAGGUCCUGCCGCUCUUCAGGGAGGGAGCGGGGGUUGGAAGGGGGCUAAUUCUGGAAGCGAUGAAAUCUGUGCCGGCUGGUUAAAGGAAAAAAAAAGUUGGGGUUGGGGUUUUUUUUUUUUUAGGUGGCUUUGACCUCCCCGAGACCGGACUGCUUAAACGAUAUGAGUUGAAAACCCGGACGCCUGAUUUGCGAUUCCGUAACUGUGGGGUUUAUGUUGUCUCCGAAACCCCCGUUUAGCCGCUCGGGCACUUCAAUUAGAGGUGCUGGACCGCUUAUUGGGCUCAUGGAUCCCACAGAACUGAUCCCGUAGGCAACAUGACUCCUACUUAAGAAGCACCUGGGAGAGAGAGGUGUGACGUGCUGAGGAAAACAUUAUGAACUCCGGUAAUGGAGCCUGUAAUCUUCAGGACCCUUAUGGGACAGAACUGAGAUCAAAGGGACCGAAGAGGUUAUCAAAAAUGAAUUGAUACUACCAGAGGCCUACAGUCCUAGAAAACCAGAGCCUACAAUUCCUGGAAUCCUGUGGGAAUGGGAACCAAUCAGCUGCCCAACAAGUGGGGUGGAGACUUUAAAUUCAAGAUGGAAGCUCUUGCAACUCUUGCCUGCUGAGUCAUGUUGACUUCAGACAACUUCAGAGGUUUUGCAAGUCUCAGUCACCUCCAUGAAGGAAAAAAGUGGCGAUACUCCUGUUUUUGCGUUUUUGCAAAGACUUGGCAAUUAGGAUUGUGAAAAAUGUUCCAUUUCAAUCUGCAAGCACGUGUGUUUUCCACCACGGGACAAGAGUUGAGAAAAAAAUUACUACUAGCGUCAGAUAUAAGACAAGCCGCAAAGCUUCCCUCAGAAUUGUUAAAGAAACUUCUGCUUUGGAGUGAGCUGGUGGAGAAAUCUGACACCGAGACGGAUGCUAGCAGAGAUCAUGCCUACUAAUUCUACUGUGCUCGCCCAAGUUCCCAGGACAGAAUUCUGCCCAGAGUGACUUUAUAAUCUCUGAGCCGUUUUCAUCAGACCGGCUGUAAAAUCUGCUGGCUGGACUUGCAGAUUCAGCGAAGAAAGCUGCAUCGCCAGUGGUGGGCUGCCAGAGCUGAAGAGAAUGUGUCUAUUUGUUAUAGUGUACUCUCCCACGUAUUUAGUGCAGUGCACUGCACACAGUAAGUGCUUAAUCGUUAUGAACGAACGAAUGAACGCAUGAAGAAAUCUGUUAAAGUUCUGACUUUCCCCAAGCUCAGACCUCCUACACGUUCCUAGAUCCACAGAAGAACGCCAGCUAGAGUCACUGCGACCCUAGGGGAUCUAAUACAUUUUGUUCAAGGUUUGGGUAGAUUUCGUGCAUUGGAUCCGUAACGUUUUCAAAGGUUUCUGCAUUAAAGCCAUAGUUUUUGUAGCAAAA